AUGCCACCAAGGAACCAAGCUCCUCGCAACCCGCCCAACAAUGGCAAGGGUCGUGUGAACCAUGUCACUGCAGAAGAAGCCCAGGAAGACCCAGAUGUCGUGUUGGGUACGUUCCUUGUCAACUCAGCACCUGCAACUGUCUUGUUUGAUUCUGGAGCCACGCAUUCAUUUGUCACCCAAAAGUUUGCAUUAAAAAGUGGCAUGACCCCUACACCCCUGAAUAACCCUAUGGUGGUACAAAUCCCCAGAGCAGAGAUGAGAGCCAAGGUAGGCUGUAAGGGAGUCGGAAUUGUCAUUAACGGGGUAGACUUCCUAGCAGACCUUAUCGUCUUAAGAUCACAAGCCUUGUAUGUGAUCUUAGGAAUGAAUUGGCUCAUCAAGCACCAAGGCUUGUUAGAUUGUGCCAACCCGACUGUCACUGUGACCAAUGACCAAGGAGUUGAAGUUAAGUUUGCUUCCAACCCCUCGCCUGCUCAAGACGCCCAAGUCAACUGUCUGACUGAAGUUGGGUUGGAGCAAGUGCCGGUAGUAUGCGAAUACCCCGAUGUCUUUCCUGAUGAGCUACCGGGAAUGCCUCCUGACCGAGACAUUGAGUUCAUCAUCGAGCUCACGCCCGGAGCAAGACCCAUCUAUAAGAAGGCUUAUAGAAUGGGAUCGGAGGAGUUAGCAGAAUUAAAGAAGCAACUAGAAGAGCAGUUGAGGAAGGGAUUUAUCCGCCCUAGUGCCUCCCCUUGGGGAUCACCUAUUCUGUUUGUGGCAAAGAAGGACGGUACCAUCCGCUUGUGCAUUGACUAUCGCUCCCUCAAUGAAGUUACAAUCAAGAACAAGUAUCCACUUCCCAAGAUUGAAGAUCUGUUUGAUCAACUCAGUGGGGACAAGGUGUUCUCCAAGAUUGACCUCAGAUCUGGGUACUACCAGCUAAAAAUUAGACCCCAAGAUAUUCCAAAGACGGCAUUUGUAACCAGAUAUGGCCUGUAUGAGUGCACAGUCAUGUCCUUUGGAUUGACAAUUGCCCCAGCUUACUUCAUGUAUCUCAUGAAUAAGGUCUUCAUGGAAUAUUUGGACAAGUUUGUUGUCGUCUUCAUUGAUGACAUUCUUGUCUUCUCGAAGACGGAAGAAGAGCACGAACAACACUUGAGGUUGGUCCUAGACAAGCUUCGAGAGCACCAACUGUACUGCAAGUUCAGCAAGUGCGAAUUUUGGCUGCAUGAAGUUGAAUUCUUGGGUCAAGCCGUGACUGAAUGGCAAACCCCGAGCAAUGUGAAGGAAGUCAGAAGCUUCCUCGGACUCGCGGGAUAUUACCGCAAGUUCGUUGAAGGAUUCUCCAGCAUUGCCCGACCCAUGACCCAGCUCUUGAAGAAGGACAAGAAGUUUGAGUGGACGCCGAAGUGCAAAGAAAGAUUCCAGGAGCUAAAGAAGAAAUUAACCACCGCCCCAGUUCUGGCCACACCUGAUAUUCACAAGGAAUUUGUGAUAUAUUGUGAUGCCUCACGAACCGGACUGGGAAGUGUUCUGAUGCAAGAGGGCAGAGUCGUAGCUUACCUUUCAAGACAACUACGUCCUCAUGAUGAGAACUAUGCUACUCAUGAUCUUGAGUUAGCAGUAGUGGUUCAUGCCUUGAAGACAUGGCGACAUUACCUCCUAGGGAAGCGGUGUGAGAUAUACACGGAUCACAAAAGUCUCAAGUAUAUUUUCACUCAAAAGGAAUUUAACAUGAGGCAGAGAAGAUGGCUAGAAUUGAUCAUGGAUUAUGGCCUCAGUGUUCAAUACCAUCGCGGAAAGGCUAAUGUGGUAUCAGAUGCAUUAAGCAGAAAUGCUUGUUCCUUCAACGCUAUGAUUAAGGAAAGGCUACCCGCAUUGUAUGAGGAACUUGAAAGCUUCGGAUUGGAACUGGUUCAACCAGGAUUCUUGGCCAACCUCGAAGUCAAGCCUACCCUGGUGGAUGAUGUUAAGGAAGCUCAGAAGGGACACGGGAGUAUUGAAGGCAUCAAGAGGAAGGUCAAGGAAGGCAAGGCCCCAGGAUUCUCAGAGGAUGAGCAAGGGAUUGUGUGGUUUGGGAAUCGCAUUUUCGUACCCAACAAGUCUGAGCUCAAAAACUUGAUCUUGCAAGAGGCUCAUGACACCCCAUAUUCCAUCCACCCCGGAGGAACCAAGAUGUAUCAAGACCUAAAGGAAAGAUUUUGGUGGCAUGGCAUGAAGAGAGAGAUAGCCACUUUUGUCGUGGAAUUGUCACGGCAGAUGUCCUCGGGUUAG
rnacentral:rRNA from 1 species